rnacentral:rRNA from 1 species
GACGAACGCUGGCGGCGUGCUUAACACAUGCAAGUCGAACGGAAAGGCCCUGCUUUUGUGGGGUGCUCGAGUGGCGAACGGGUGAGUAACACGUGAGUAACCUGCCCUUGACUUUGGGAUAACUUCAGGAAACUGGGGCUAAUACCGGAUAGGAGCUCCUGCUGCAUGGUGGGGGUUGGAAAGUUUCGGCGGUUGGGGAUGGACUCGCGGCUUAUCAGCUUGUUGGUGGGGUAGUGGCUUACCAAGGCUUUGACGGGUAGCCGGCCUGAGAGGGUGACCGGCCACAUUGGGACUGAGAUUCGGGCCAGACUCCUAAGGGAGGCAGCAGUGGGGAAUAUUGCACAAUGGGCGGAAGCCUGAUGCAGCAACGCCGCGUGGGGGAUGACGGCCUUCGGGUUGUAAACCGCUUUCGCCUGUGACGAAGCGUGAGUGACGGUAAUGGGUAAAGAAGCACCGGCUAACUACGUG